GCCAGUGUGGUGUAGUGGUAUGAACAGUGGACUAUGGCUCUGGAGACCAGGGUUCAAAUCCCUGUUCAGCUA